rnacentral:rRNA from 1 species
UACGGAGGGUGCGAGCGUUAAUCGGAAUUACUGGGCGUAAAGCGCGCGUAGGCGGUUAGAUAAGUCUGAUGUGAAAGCCCUGGGCUUAACCUGGGAACUGCAUUGGAAACUGUCUGGCUAGAGUGUGGUAGAGGGGUGUGGAAUUUCCGGUGUAGCAGUGAAAUGCGUAGAGAUCGGAAGGAACACCAGUGGCGAAGGCGGCACCCUGGACCAACACUGACGCUGAGGUGCGAAAGCGUGGGGAGCAAACAGG